UACUUAGCAGGUGUGCAUGAGAGGAAAAAUUUUAGACUGCAACGGAUAUAUUAGUGACGUAGCGUAACAAAUCAAUCAAAUUAAUUAUUUUAAAAAUAUAUGUCCCAUCAUGAUUGUAAAAAAAUAUUUUUAUUGUACUUUUGUUUGAAAAGAAUGAAUAUGAUUGGCUUGUUAUUAAUGAUGUGGUGCAAGUGUGACAGUGUAGAAUUCCUCGCACGAGAGAAUUAUCUUGGAUGCGUUUUGGAUACG
rnacentral:lncRNA from 1 species